rnacentral:lncRNA from 10 species
CAGCCUUUACACACGCACACACAUACACACACCUCUUGUCUGACUGUACAGAGAUAGUCGACAAGCUUUCAGGUUUGCCCACUUUUAUUGUGCUAAUAAUGCUAAGUGUGGAAACCCCCACCUCGUGCUGUUCUGUGUAAGUGUACCGCAACUGCAGGGUGCUCGCCUCCACUGCCAACUGAUGAUACACUAAAGAAAGCCCGUUUUUUAUCCAGAUGUAAAAUGAAGCUGCACCCCUCCUAUACCUGCCGGAAACUACAUCUCUCUGCACACACCCUGGGGUAAUACGCACUGCACCCGGCGAGUUACCUGGAAUACGUUUACUAAAUCGACAGGAAGAAGGAAAGAUCAAUGCGAUUCAAGUGCUGACGGUUGUACUCGUGAAGGAAAAAAACAAAUGCAAGCCGGGAAGUCCCCAGUGGUGCCUGCACCUAGGAGGCGACUGCAACGGAUGGAUGCGGGGGUAGAUAAUCAGCAACCCCCCAAGACUGUGCCUGCUGCACAACUACAGAACGCAGUGGAAGACACGCUGAAUUCUGAGUCAGAAGGUUGACUUUCUAGCUGUGGGGACUUGGCCAAACCUCCUCAGAGCUUCAGUUUUCUCAUCUGUAAAAUAGAGAUCUUAAUCCCUACCAAUCUCACAGGACUGCUGAGAGUAUCAGAUGAGAGUGCAAGAGGAAAAUCAUUCUGGAUUUUAGAGAAGAAAAUCCAAGACAAGAAACAGAGGUAGCAAGAGAGAGAUGUCACUGGUGCACCACUAAAGAAAAACCUCAAGCUGCCAACGUCAGCUCUACAGAGAAAUGGGGACUGAAACCAAAGAGAGGGAUUUCAGACCUGUGUCAGCUGAAAUCUAAAAUGCAGUCAUUCAUUUAGACAAUAGCUAGGAAGUUAUUUUUAUGUAUCAGUGACUUUGAAAAUGCAAUAUCAAUCAUGGUGUUAUUUCUCUUGGACCUGGGGCGAAAGGACUCAAGUGGAAGGUUCCCAUUACCACAGCGGUAUUUCAGGGAGUGAGGAAUUUGGGAGGGAGGAAAAACAGUAUGUCCCUCAUCUGGGGAUUUUCUCUCCUCAUAACUGAUCUUUUAAAAUCCUUUAUGUAGGGAUUUUGCAAACUGACUAUGAAAAGGAAAGCCCCACUAUCUCUUACUGUGCCAUCAACUCACACUGUAAAAGGAGCAAAAAGUGUUUUAAAAGCCAAUUUGACCAGAGCUGACUUAUUUUACUUUGUUUAUCGACAGAUGUCAAUAUCUUUAUAUUUCUUAUCUCCCCAGUGGACUGUAAGCUUCGGGAAAGGCAAUAGCUCUGGAAUAGUUACUGCGCUACUGGAGUAGUGCCCAUCAGACUGUGUGUAAAUGAGACUUGGCUGUCAGUCACCCUGGGAGGCGAUGCACAUUCAUUCUCAGGAUGCUGCUAUUGCUCAACUGAUUUUUAGAACUCUGAGAGGGAAGAAUUUUCUAACCCUUUCCAUUUGCCUUUAGAAUUGGUUCAUAUGUCACCCCAAAAUCAAUUUUUUAUACUUUAUAAUCAUCAUAUUCCUUUUUUUUUUUGAGAUAGAGUCUUGCUUUAUUGCCCAGGCUGGAGUGCAGUGGCGCGAUGUGGGCUCACUGCAACCUCCGCCUCCUGGGU